CGAAUCCAGUCGCUGGACUGGAUUCAAUGUGACCUUUGCAAAAAAUGGCUGCAUUCUGACUGCGCUGGUAUCAGUCUUGAAACGAUCACAGAGGAAACAGCAUUCAGUUGUGGAUGUGACACUAACCAUGUGCAUACCUUUGAGAAAACAUUGGCACUACUGAAGAAGGGCUGGUUGGUUGACCUUGUAAUACAGGAUCAAGAAGUCUUGAGAUUGCACGAAGGCUUGAGAUCCGAUCCAGCAGGAUGUUUUUAUUUAAACAUCCCACAUUUUCUUCAAAGCUGUGGAUGAAACUUAGCAAAAAGUUUUGUUUUUUUUGAUGAAGAACAGGUAUUUCAUACUGUUUGCCUUGUUUAACAAUUUAUAGUUAAAAUAAGUUUAUGUUAUGCCUUAAGAACAGAAGACUGUACAGAUGCAUAAGAAAGUAUAUAUCAGAUGUUAUUUUAACAUCUCAUAUUUCAUUGGAAUGUAUUCUGUCAAUGUAGAUUUUCUACAGAAAAAUUAGAGAAUUAUGAAUGUAAUUACGAAUGUUAUUGUGUACAAAUUUAACAAAUGUUUUGCUACAGACAGAGAGGAUAAUUGAAAGAAUAUACACAGUAACACAGCUGCCUAGGGUUUCCCUGGACAACACAUAUUACGUUCUUGAAGUUUUGACCCCUGAGGUAUA